GCUAUACAUGCAAGUCGAGCGAACAGAUAAGGAGCUUGCUCCUUUGACGUUAGCGGCGGACGGGUGAGUAACACGUGGGUAACCUACCUAUAAGACUGGGAUAACUUCGGGAAACCGGAGCUAAUACCGGAUAACAUUUGGAACCGCAUGGUUCUAAAGUGAAAGAUGGUUUUGCUAUCACUUAUAGAUGGACCCGCGCCGUAUUAGCUAGUUGGUAAGGUAACGGCUUACCAAGGCGACGAUACGUAGCCGACCUGAGAGGGUGAUCGGCCACACUGGAACUGAGACACGGUCCAGACUCCUACGGGAGGCAGCAGUAGGGAAUCUUCCGCAAUGGGCGAAAGCCUGACGGAGCAACGCCGCGUGAGUGAUGAAGGGUUUCGGCUCGUAAAACUCUGUUAUUAGGGAAGAACAAAUGUGUAAGUAACUGUGCACGUCUUGACGGUACCUAAUCAGAAAGCCACGGCUAACUACGUGCCAGCAGCCGCGGUAAUACGUAGGUGGCAAGCGUUAUCCGGAAUUAUUGGGCGUAAAGCGCGCGUAGGCGGUUUCUUAAGUCUGAUGUGAAAGCCCACGGCUCAACCGUGGAGGGUCAUUGGAAACUGGGAAACUUGAGUGCAGAAGAGGAAAGUGGAAUUCCAUGUGUAGCGGUGAAAUGCGCAGAGAUAUGGAGGAACACCAGUGGCGAAGGCGACUUUCUGGUCUGUAACUGACGCUGAUGUGCGAAAGCGUGGGGAUCAAACAGGAUUAGAUACCCUGGUAGUCCACGCCGUA
rnacentral:rRNA from 2 species